GGAGUUAGCCGGUGCUUCUUCUGUGAGUGAUGUCCUUCCUGCCGGCUAUUAACCCGCAGGCCUUCUUCCUCACUGAAAGUGCUUUACAACCCGAAGGCCUUCUUCACACACGCGGCAUGGCUGGAUCAGGGUUGCCCCCAUUGUCCAAUAUUCCCCACUGCUGCCUCCCGUAGGAGUCUGGGCCGUGUCUCAGUCCCAGUGUUGCUGAUCAUCCUCUCAGACCAGCUACGGAUCGUCGCCUUGGUGAGCCGUUACCUCACCAACCAGCUAAUCCGACAUAGGCUCAUCCGAUAGCGCGAGGCCCGAAGGUCCCCCGCUUUCCCCCGUAGGGCGUAUGCGGUAUUAGCCUGGGUUUCCCCAGGUUAUCCCCCACUACCGGGCAGAUUCCUAUGCAUUACUCACCCGUCCGCCGCUCGCCACCAGGGAGCAAGCUCCCCGUGCUGCCGCUCGACUUGCAUGUGUUAGGCCUGCCGCCAGCGUUCAAUCUGAGCCAGGAUCAAACUCUGA
rnacentral:rRNA from 1 species